rnacentral:rRNA from 1 species
UACGUAGGGGGCAAGCGUUGUCCGGAUUUAUUGGGCGUAAAGAGCGUGUAGGCGGCUAGAUAGGUCCGUUGUGAAAACUCGAGGCUCAACCUCGAGACGCCGAUGGAAACCAUCCAGCUAGAGUCCGGAAGAGGAGAGUGGAAUUCCCAGUGUAGCGGUGAAAUGCGUAGAUACUGGGAGGAACACCGGUGGCGAAGGCGGCUACCUGGACCGGUUCUGACACUGAUGCGCGAAAGCGUGGGUAGCAAACAGG